GGAUUAAAAACAAUACAGGUAUUUAUUGAAAAAGAUCUGUGUAUCAAUAGACCCAUGCAGUUCAAAUCUGUGUUGUUCAAGGGUCAACUGU
rnacentral:miRNA from 1 species